GCAGUAUUCUUCUGUGACUGUAGCAACUUCCAUGAAAAAAUAAUAAAAAAAAAAAAUUACUUGUUCUGAGCUUCCAAAUGAGAAUAACUUCAAACCGGAUGUGGUGUGAAGAGAGAGUUUACACCCUCUAAUGAUCGGGCGACAAAUCACAGUUCUAAAAAUAUUAAAAUAAAAUCAAUCUCAGGUGAUUUUUCAAUACAAUCUUCUCUCUCCCCAGUCUUCCUUCAGUCUCCCUCCCCUCGAUCCAUUGCAGCCUUAAGCAAAUAAUUAGCAAAUGGGUCCACCCGAAAAAACCUUAGAAACCCACCAGUACGCACAAAACAAAACACACUUUACCCAUGGCCGCAUUAUCCAAUUUCGGGCAUCUCGCUGCCUUAAGUUUCUUCAUUUUGUUCUUGGAAUCAUUGUUCGGUAACUAGCCUCUCCUUUUCAAAUUUGAAUUUCAAAUUCAACGUCUUAAUUUCAAUAUUUCCAGAAGACUAGCAGUAUCUUCUGCUCUCUCUCUCUCUCUCAAAAAUACUUCCACUUGAUAUAAUUUCCUGGGAGCAGAUAAGGGCUACGACGAUGAUGAUGGAAAUGAUUAGUAUUACUUGGACGAUGAGCUCGUGCCGUGGAAUGUGAGCGAUAAGGUCGGGAGGCAGAGGAUGAGGAAGUUGGGGAAGAGGGCGUUUCCAUAGAUGCACAACUCCAAGAGGUCUCCUUAUCUGUUUGUGACGCCUGGUUGUGUGCGUGGAAAGCAUGGUCUGGGUUUGACUUGGCUUAGUUUAUCUGGUUGCUGUGUAAUUCACUUGUUAUCUUUCAUUGUCGAUGAAGAUCAUUAACUUUUAAUGGAAAACUUGAUUGGUUAUUAAAAAAAAAAAAAAAAAAAAAGCACGGCCAGUCUGUAAAUACUGAAGGUUGAACGAAGAGCUCAGUAGAAUUCUUCCACAAUUGGAGAUGAUGCGGAAAAGGAAAUCUGAGAGAGGAAAUCAAUUCCUAGAAGUCCAAGAGAAGAUACAGAACAUCUCAAACGAGAUCUACGGAUCCACAGGGUAUACUUAUUUCAUCCAUGUUGGUUGUAGAUGAACGUGAUUUGUCUUUGAGAAAGCUUGAGGAGUUGCACAGAGAGCUGCAUGAACUUCUGAAGCAAUGGUUGAUGCGAUGGCUUCAAAAAUCCUGGCAUGGGAAGGAAAGAGGCAUUGAGUUCACAUAUGAUGGUGAUGAGAACCGAUCGAUACAAUGCUGGAAGAGGUGCGCAUCUUACUCUCAAGCGUGCUGAGAAAGCUUGCUCUUUGGUUAAUAAACUUCCAGGUAUACUCUGAUCAUAUAGCUUGUCAGCCUUAAUCUUGAAUUCGCAUUUAUGUGAGUUCAUUAAUUAGAAUUAUUUUAUUAGUAUCUAUAGGAUUAACUAAUUUGGCUGGUUUUCAUUGAAGUUAUGAUUCUUUAGUUUAUGAGUUUGCUCAAGAAGAAGCCAAAUAUAUUAUAUUAUAUAUAUAUAUCAUAAUAGUUAUAAUCUUUCUACUUUAUUAUUUCUGUCCACGUGGUUUGUGUACGGCAAUGGUUGAUGCGUUGGCUUCAAAAAGAGGGAAAGGGGCAUUUAGUUGACAUAUGAAGGUCUAAGUACGCUCCCUAUUCUUCAAGGUGCUGGGUGUUUAAAUAGUUGGUCUUACUUGAUAACUUUUUUUUUUCCUUUUAAGAAAGAGAUGAAGAUCACCUGCCCAUGAGUGAUCCCCUUCCAAUUUUAUUAAAAAAAACCCUAACUUAUGGCGGAGGAAUACCGUGGUAACAAAAACAUCCCAAUUUCAAAUGCAAGACCUAGCCCCACAAAAAUUAGCAUCUAUUGUAGGGGAAACCCCAACUAUCCAAACGUAAAAGACCUCUAAGUCUUCCUGUACCAAAAUAUUCUCCAAAAAAAUUUAGAGACCCACUAUUAGCACCAAGUUUAGCUAAAAAAUCAGCGACCAUAUUUGCUUUUCUAAACACCACUUUAAAGUGAACAUUAAGCUCCCUAAAUAGACAUUGAGCUUCCUCUCAAAAAUCCCAAAGGUUCCAAUAAUUACAAACACUUGCGAGAAACCAUCCCACUAUAACACUAGAAUCUGACUCUAUCACGAAGUUCCUCAACCCAAGUUGCUUGCAUAUUCGAAGGUCAUCAAUAACGGCUCGACUUUCCGCAAUAGUAUUCGUGGCUUGACCAUAGCAAUGAGCAAACCCACCCAAGACGCAACAAGUAUCAUCUCUAACAAUGAGCAAACCCACCCAAGACCAUAGCAAUGGCUAGACCAUAU